rnacentral:rRNA from 1 species
AUUGAACGCUGGCGGCAGGCUUAACACAUGCAAGUCGAGCGGGGGAGGUUGCUUCGGUAACUGACCUAGCGGCGGACGGGUGAGUAAUGCUUAGGAAUCUGCCUAUUAGUGGGGGACAACAUUCCGAAAGGGAUGCUAAUACCGCAUACGCCCUACGGGGGAAAGCAGGGGAUCUUCGGACCUUGCGCUAAUAGAUGAGCCUAAGUCGGAUUAGCUAGUUGGUGGGGUAAAGGCCUACCAAGGCGACGAUCUGUAGCGGGUCUGAGAGGAUGGUCCGCCACACUGGGACUGAGACACGACCCAGACUCCUGCGGGAGGCAGCAGUGGGGAAUAUUGGACAAUGGGCGGAAGCCUGAUCCAGCCAUGCCGCGUGUGUGAAGAAGGCCUUUUGGUUGUAAAGCACUUUAAGCGAGGAGGAGGCUCUUAAGGUUAAUACCCUUGAUGAGUGGACGUUACUCGCAGAAUAAGCACCGGCUAACUCUGUGCCAGCCGCCGCGGUAACAC